rfam:Deltaproteobacteria bacterium CSP1-8 XT12_C0009, whole genome shotgun sequence.
GGAACAUGCACUCGUUGCGGGGCAACGAUGGCAAAAGA